AACGGCUAUUCCAUGGUGAAUAUACCGAUUCUCGUUAGAUCACCGAAGUCAAGCAUCAUUGGGCGAGGUCAGUACUUGGGUGGGUGACCACCUGGGAACACCGCGUGCCGUU